rnacentral:rRNA from 1 species
GUCCUUUAGAUUUAAAUUAAAGGUCUGACCUGCCCACUGAAAAAGUUUAAAUGGCCGCAGUAAAUUGACUGUGCAAAGGUAGCAUAAUCAAUAGUUUUUUAAUUAAAAGCUUGUAUGAAUGGUUGGACGAGAUAAAAUCUGUCUUUAAUUAAAAAGUAGAAUUUAAUUUUUAAGUUAAAAAGCUUAAAUUUUAUUAAAAGACGAGAAGACCCUAUAGAUCUUUAUAAUAAAUUAUUUAUUUUUAUUAAGGAUUAUUUAGUUAUUUUAUUUGAUUUAUUAUUUUAUUGGGGUAAUAUUAAGAUUGAAUUAAUUCUUUUUUAAAAAAACAUUUAUUUUUGAUUAAUUGAUCCAUUAUUAGUGAUUAUAAGAUUAAGUUACCUUAGGGAUAACAGCGUAAUUUUUUUAGAGAGUUCUUAUCGAUAAAAAAGUUUGCGACCUCGAUGUUGGAUUAAAAGUUAUUCUAGGUGUAGUAGUUUAGAGAUUUGGUCUGUUCGACCAUUAAAUUUUU